rnacentral:sRNA from 1 species
UUUCGUCCGCACACUGAGAGGAUGAGAAUCUCCGAAGGAGGUUUGAGCCGAACGUAGUGAGACCACGUUGCUUUAGCAACGGCCCGCAGGGCAAGCAUCGAAGAUGCGCAUAAUCCUCUCAUGCCGACCA